rnacentral:sRNA from 1 species
CCCGGAGGGAACCGACGAUGGAGUGUA